rnacentral:rRNA from 1 species
ACGUACACUCCUGCGGGAGGCAGCAGUGGGGAAUAUUGGACAAUGGGCGCAAGCCUGAUCCAGCCAUGCCGCGUGAGUGAUGAAGGCCCUAGGGUUGUAAAGCUCUUUCACCGGAGAAGAUAAUGACGGUAUCCGGAGAAGAAGCCCCGGCUAACUUCGUGCCAGCAGCCGCGGUAAUACGAAGGGGGCUAGCGUUGUUCGGAAUUACUGGGCGUAAAGCGCACGUAGGCGGAUCGAUCAGUCAGGGGUGAAAUCCCAGGGCUCAACCCUGGAACUGCCUUGAUACUGUCGAUCUGGAGUAUGGAAGAUGUGAGUGGAAUUCCGAGUGUAGAGGUGAAAUUCGUAGAUAUUCGGAGGAACACCAGUGGCGAAGGCGGCUCACUGGUCCAUUACUGACGCUGAGGUGCGAAAGCGUUGGGAGCAAACAGGAUUAGAUACCCUGGUAGUCCCAU